CUGACAGAAGUUCAGCUGGGUGUGAGUUGAUGGAAAAGUGGGCAAAAAGUGGUCAGUUCAGGGACAGAUGACCUUUGUCCUAGCAAAGUGUUUGUUGAAUCUUAGAAUUUCAUUGAAUUCCAGUGGAACUGAAUUCUGAGUUUAGAAACAUCAGUGUCAUCUUGGAUGGGAAUGUCUCGAAGCCUAGGUAACAGGAGGAGGUAAAAUAAAUCAGAGGGGCAACAGUGUGGAAGACUCUGGAAGAUACCCUGUUGUCUUCACCUACAUACAGUAUUUACUGGGCAUUCAUAUUGUGAGCCAUAACCCAGAGCCAAACCCAACAUUUCUUGUUCGAGUUUUAAGCCUAGGGAGAGACACUUUUUCCUGGACUGACCCAGAGAAUCUCUCCCCAAUUUCUUCUCCAAGUACCCCUGGGAAAGAGUUUGUUUAUUGUCCUAUUUCCUUCAAGAAGAUGGAGAUAUGCAGUUUUCUCUGCGCUAAGAGGAACUUUGUUGCAGACCCAACUGACUGAUCAAAGCAGCCUUCCCUGGGUUAUGGAAUCUGUUCACCCAGGACACAGGGCUCCCAAUGAAACCUGCCUCAUGAUUCUCCAGGCCUUCCUGAUGUCAUUGAUUAUAUAGUUUCAGGUCUGGCUCUUCCUGUCUGCAUCUUGUAUUGAUACUUCACCUCUCCACUAUGAAAUGCAUAAGAUAUAUUUUUUUAACUCACAAAUAUCCUUGUCAUUCUCCUACUUACUAUUUCUCUUAAGGUAGAAGACUCUUGUGUGGUCAGAUUUUGUUUUGAAAUAUUUUUUUCUCCUAAUUCUCUAAUCCAUGGGUAGAACUAGGAAGGAGCUGAGCGUUGUUGCAUCCAACUUGUCAUUUUACAGGUGCGAGACUGAGACCCAGAAAGAGAAAUUUACUUCCAUAGAGUCUCAUCACAGGUUAUAGGGAGGGUAUGCACGAUUUGUCUUUUCAAGUCUAAAGAGGUGCAACAAUGGCUAGACUGCCUGAAACUGGCCCCUUCAAG
rnacentral:lncRNA from 1 species